rnacentral:rRNA from 1 species
UACGAAGGGGGCUAGCGUUGCUCGGAAUGACUGGGCGUAAAGGGCGCGUAGGCGGUUCGUACAGUCAGACAUGAAAUUCCCGGGCUCAACCUGGGGACUGCGUUUGAUACGUGCGGGCUUGAGUUCGGAAGAGGGUCGUGGAAUUCCCAGUGUAGAGGUGAAAUUCGUAGAUAUUGGGAAGAACACCGGUGGCGAAGGCGGCGACCUGGUCCGAUACUGACGCUGAGGCGCGAAAGCGUGGGGAGCAAACAGG